UACAGAGGUCUCAACCGUUGUUCGGAUUCAUUGGGCGUAAAGGGUGCGUAGGCGGUCGUGCAAGUCGGAUGUGAAAUCUCAGGGCUCAACCCUGAAACUGCAUUCGAUACUGCGUGGCUAGAGUGCUGGAGAGGAGACUGGAAUUUACGGUGUAGCAGUGAAAUGCGUAGAUAUCGUAAGGAAGACCAGUGGCGAAGGCGAGUCUCUGGACAGCAACUGACGCUGAGGCACGAAGGCCAAGGGAGCAAACGGG
rnacentral:rRNA from 1 species